rnacentral:rRNA from 1 species
UACGAAGGGUGCAAGCGUUAAUCGGAAUUACUGGGCGUAAAGGGUGCGUAGGCGGUUGUUUAAGUCUGUCGUGAAAUCCCCGGGCUCAACCUGGGAAUGGCGAUGGAUACUGGGCAGCUAGAGUGUGUCAGAGGAUGGUGGAAUUCCCGGUGUAGCGGUGAAAUGCGUAGAGAUCGGGAGGAACAUCAGUGGCGAAGGCGGCCAUCUGGGGACAACACUGACGCUAGAGACGAAAGCGUGGG